rfam:Stegodyphus mimosarum contig79334, whole genome shotgun sequence.
GCCUGCGUGGUGUAGUAGUCAGCACGCUGCGCGCGUAUUCCAGAGGUCCGUGGUUCGAGUCCCGGCGAAGGCG